rnacentral:rRNA from 1 species
UGGGGAAUAUUGGACAAUGGGGGGAACCCUGAUCCAGCCAUGCCGCGUAUGUGAAGAAGGCCUUAUGGUUGUAAAGCACUUUAAGCGAGGAGGAGGGUACUGGUAUUAAUACUACCAGCUACUGGACGUUACUCGCAGAAUAAGCACCGGCUAACUCUGUGCCAGCAGCCGCGGUAAUACAGAGGGUGCGAGCGUUAAUCGGAUUUACUGGGCGUAAAGCGUGCGUAGGCGGCUAAUUGAGUCGGAUGUGAAAUCCCCGAGCUUAACUUGGGAAUUGCAUUCGAUACUGGUUAGCUAGAGUGUGGGAGAGGAUGGUAGAAUUCCAGGUGUAGCGGAGAAAUGCGUAGAGAUCUGGAGGAAUACCGAUGGCGAAGGCAGCCAUCUGGCCUAACACUGACGCUGAGGUACGAAAGCAUGGGGAGCAAACAGG